CCUACGGGUGGCAGCAGUAGGGAAUCUUCCACAAUGGGCGAAAGCCUGAUGCAGCAACGCCGCGUGGGUGAAGAAGGUCUUCGGAUCGUAAAACCCUGUUGUUAGAGAAGAAAGUGCGUGAGAGUAACUGUUCACGUUUCGACGGUAUCUAACCAGAAAGCAACGGCUAACUCCGUGCCAGCAGCCGCGGUAAUACGUAGGUGGCAAGCGUUAUCCGGAUUUAUUGGGCGUAAAGGGAACGCAGGCGGUCUUUUAAGUCUGAUGUGAAAGCCUGCGGCUUAACGGGGGUAGUGCAUUGGAAACUGGGAGACUUGAGUGUAGAAGAGGAGAGUGGAACUCCAUGUGUAGGGGUGAAAUGCGUAGAUAUAUGGAAGAACACCAGUGGCGAAAGCGGCUCUCUGGUCUGUAACUGACGCUGAGGUGCGAAAGCGUGGGUAGCAAACAGGAUUAGAUACCCGAGUAGUC
rnacentral:rRNA from 1 species